GAUGAACGCUGGCGGCGUGCCUAAUACAUGCAAGUCGAGCGAACGGACGAGGAGCUUGCUUCUCUGAUGUUAGCGGCGGACGGGUGAGUAACACGUGGAUAACCUACCUAUAAGACUGGGAUAACUUCGGGAAACCGGAGCUAAUACCGGAUAAUAUUUUGAACCGCAUGGUUCAAUAGUGAAAGACGGUCUUGCUGUCACUUAUAGAUGGAUCCGCGCUGCAUUAGCUAGUUGGUAAGGUAACGGCUUACCAAGGCAACGAUGCAUAGCCGACCUGAGAGGGUGAUCGGCCACACUGGAACUGAGACACGGUCCAGACUCCUACGGGAGGCAGCAGUAGGGAAUCUUCCGCAAUGGGCGAAAGCCUGACGGAGCAACGCCGCGUGAGUGAUGAAGGUCUUCGGAUCGUAAAACUCUGUUAUUAGGGAAGAACAUAUGUGUAAGUAACUGUGCACAUCUUGACGGUACCUAAUCAGAAAGCCACGGCUAACUACGUG
rnacentral:rRNA from 1 species